rnacentral:piRNA from 1 species
AAAAUGGACAUUAAAAACGAAGA